AGUCUGUUUGGUUCAAUAUAAAAUAGUAAAAAAUGUUUUUUUGUAGAAAAAAAUUUUACAUUUGUAGUGUUUGGUUUGUAGGAAAAAAAAAAGAUAGUUUUUCGACAUUUAUUUGGUUGAAAGGGAAAAAUUACAUUUAUUUGAUUCGAUGAAAAAAAAUAAAUGAAAAUAAUUUUAUGCAGCUUGAAUUUUCGUUUUGUGCCCAAAAAGGGCAGAAAAUGAAAACUUCAAUUUUUUUCCGGACCAAUAAAAAUCCUUUUAUGAAAAAAAUAUUCUUGGGUCAAAUGAAACAAGCAGAAAAGCAUUUUUCAUACUAAAAAUAAUUUUUUAAUUUGUUUUACACCAAACCAAUCGACCUCCCACCAACCAAAAUAAAAAAAAAAUUUAU
rnacentral:lncRNA from 1 species